UGGGGAAUAUUGCACAAUGGGCGAAAGCCUGAUGCAGCGACGCCGCGUGAAGGAAGAAGUAUUUCGGUAUGUAAACUUCUAUCAGCAGGGAAGAUAAUGACGGUACCUGACUAAGAAGCUCCGGCUAAAUACGUGCCAGCAGCCGCGGUAAUACGUAUGGAGCAAGCGUUAUCCGGAUUUACUGGGUGUAAAGGGUGCGCAGGUGGUCUGGUAAGUCAGAAGUGAAAACCCGGGGCUCAACCCCGUGGAUUGCUUUUGAAACUAUUAGACUAGAGUCCGGGAGAGGUAAGCGGAAUUCCUAGUGUAGCGGUGAAAUGCGUAGAUAUUAGGAGGGACACCAGUGGCGAAGGCGGCUUACUGGACUGGUACUGACACUGAGGCACGAAAGCGUGGGGAGCAAACAGG
rnacentral:rRNA from 1 species